CCUACGGGGCCUGCCAUAGGCGGCGCGGGAGGACGGGGCGCGGCGGGGGACACGGCGGCCGCCGCGGCGCUAGACCGGGCAACGGCGGCGACGGUGGAGGCAUGAUUUCCCGUUGCCGCAGAGAAAAUAGGGUGCAAGCCCAGAAACUUUCCCCAUCACCACUUGUUGAAAAUCUGAUUUGAAAGCUGUUCGAGUGUGAACAACAGAAAGUGCGGAGAUUUGAUGCGUGCCUCCUUUUGCGCUGGAGACCCUUCACUACUAAUUAUCAAG